rnacentral:rRNA from 1 species
UGGGGAAUUUUGGACAAUGGGCGAAAGCCUGAUCCAGCAAUGCCGCGUGUGUGAAGAAGGCCUUCGGGUUGUAAAGCACUUUUGUCCGGAAAGAAAUCCUUGGCUCUAAUACAGUCGGGGGGAUGACGGUACCGGAAGAAUAAGCACCGGCUAACUACGUGCCAGCAGCCGCGGUAAUACGUAGGGUGCAAGCGUUAAUCGGAAUUACUGGGCGUAAAGCGUGCGCAGGCGGUUUGCUAAGACCGAUGUGGAAUCCCCGGGCUCAACCUGGGAACUGCAUUGGUGACUGGCAGGCUAGAGUAUGGCAGAGGGGGGUAGAAUUCCACGUGUAGCAGUGAAAUGCGUAGAGAUGUGGAGGAAUACCGAUGGCGAAGGCAGCCCCCUGGGCCAAUACUGACGCUCAUGCACGAAAGCGUGGGGAGCAAACAGGAUUAGAUACCCUGGUAGUCCACGCCCUAAAACGAUGUCAACUAGUUGUUGGGGAUUCAUUUCCUUAGUAACGUAGCUAACGCGUGAAGUUGACCGCCUGGGGAGUACGGUCGCAAGAUUAAAACUCAAAGGAAUUGACGGGGUCAUAGCUG